rnacentral:lncRNA from 1 species
GGCGCAGCAUCUUGGGCGGAGGAAGGACAACCUUGUGGGUGUCAUUGGAGGGCAGUUCCCUCCCCCACCUCACCACCUCGUACUGGCGGAUCCUCCCUCUCUUUGAUUUGUCUCGCUUUCCUAUGCUCUGCUGGCUCCAAAUUCCGAGAGGACCUUCUGGCUUCUCUUUUUGUAGGUAAGGAAACCAGGGCUGGGAAAAUCUCGCUGACUCACCACAUUUGGAGGCCAAUCCCGAAUCGGUGGAACAACGCGCCUCCCGAGAGACCCAGGACUAGCCUCCAGCCCCGAAACAGCGGUUCUUCACGUGACAGUCACCCCAGGAGCCAGUUUCAUGGAACAAAUGCAGAGAAUCCCGAACCAGCCCCUCCCCACCCCUGCUUCUCAGUCCAAGAAGAGGAGGACACCACUGUCAUCUUUCUUUUCCAAGGUCUCUUGGAAACUGAGGUUGCAGAAGCGGGAACCUUUGAAGAAUCUGUUUUUCGUCUUGGCAGAAAGAGCCCGGGGUCCUAAUCCUAGAAAGCGCCAUCUAGCAAUGAGAGGCCUGGGUAUCUUGGCCCAUGAAGCUCCUGACAAGGUAGGGGAGGUGGGAUUCAGAUAGCCUUCCCAAGACUCUAAGCCAGUGUCUGUCCAUUGAAUAAGGAGACACAGGACCUUGGCAAUGACGUCUACCCUUUAAUGUACAACUCACGAUGGCUGUGGUCCACUCUGAUGGCGAUCCAAUGAUGGAGACCUGGCUCUGUGUUCUUGUUGAUGAAAACCCACAGGAGGAUGACAGCGUGCGCUACUCAGCCUUUGUCCUCUUUGGGCAGUUGGCUGCAUUUGCUGGGCGGAAAUGGAAGAAGUUCUUCACCCACCAGGUCAACCAGACCCAAGAUUCCCUCCUAAGCCAUUUGCAGGACGAAAGCCCUCAGGUUGCCAAGGCUUGCACAAUGGCUGUUCAAGCCUGUGUUCCAUACCUGAA